UACGUAGGGGGCAAGCGUUGUCCGGAUUUAUUGGGCGUAAAGAGCUCGUAGGCGGUUGGGUAAGUCGGGUGUGAAAACUCGAGGCUCAACCUCGAGACGUCGGCGGAAACCAUCUGGCUAGAGUCCGGAAGAGGAGACUGGAAUUCCCGGUGUAGCAGUGAAAUGCGUAGAGAUCGGGAGGAACAUCAGUUGCGAAGGCGGCUCUCUGGACCAGCACUGACACUGAGGCACGAAAGCGUGGGGAGCAAACAGG
rnacentral:rRNA from 1 species